rnacentral:rRNA from 1 species
ACGAACGCUGGCGGCAUGCCUAACACAUGCAAGUCGAACGAGACCUUCGGGUCUAGUGGCGCACGGGUGCGUAACGCGUGGGAACCUGCCCUUAGGUUCGGAAUAACUCCCCGAAAGGGGUGCUAAUACCGGAUAAUGUCUUCGGACCAAAGAUUUAUCGCCUUUGGAUGGGCCCGCGUUGGGUUAGCUAGUUGGUAGGGUAAAAGCCUACCAAGGCGACGAUCCAUAGCUGGUCUGAGAGGAUGAUCAGCCACACUGGGACUGAGACACGGCCCAGACUCCUACGGGAGGCAGCAGUGGGGAAUAUUGGACAAUGGGCGAAAGCCUGAUCCAGCAAUGCCGCGUGAGUGAUGAAGGCCUUAGGGUUGUAAAGCUCUUUUACCCGGGAUGAUAAUGACAGUACCGGGAGAAUAAGCUCCGGCUAACUCCGUG